AACUGCCACGUGUAGGACGGAGAGAAGAGCAGAAGUUAGUUGACGACACGUAAGACAUAUUUGGUUUUAUCUUUGAAGAAGCGUUAAGAAAGGUUACACCACUAAAUCCUGAUUAAUCGCUAAUUAAAGCGUGUGUUUUGGUUUUAGCGGGAAAUCGUUAAUUAACGAUUUAGGUGCUUCUCCUACGGUGCACGCUCUCACGUUCUAAAUAUGCCACGUGGAGCAGUAGUAAGGAUAGUUUAGAACCGGACACGUGUUCGUUUCUCUGCCCACUAUUACGAUAAAACAGCCGUGUGGUCUUUGCAAUCUGGCAGGCCAGGGACACGUGGUGCCAGAUCUUGAUGUCCCCACGAAUCUCCACCCUCUUUUUCACUAAACGAAAGCGAAGGUCAGAGAAGACGUAUACCCAUAUAAAUAAUGACACGUGUCUGCCUUGAUGCGGGACUCAUUACAUGGUUUCAAGGAGCCUGAAGUUGACACGUGGAUGGCAUAGGCAGCGUAGACGAUGCGGCCGGAUCAAGUUGCAUUCCAGGCUUAACGAAUGAUAGGGACGAAUGGGCUUAUCUGUAUGAAAGUGUGUGCUACACGUGCUGCAAGAGUGAUGGAUAAGAGAGGUGAAAAUAUGAGACGAUUGGCACGUGUAAGUAUUUGGAAGAUGAGGCGCUAAUGAAGGGCAAUGAUAAUUGCGACACGUAAGCUUAUGAGGUGGGCCCAUGUGGAGCAAUGCUUUUGAAAAGUGUGCGAUACGAGGGUCGGAUCGUUGGUGGUAAACGGGCAAUGCAUGAAGGCCACGUGUCACUGGUGGGAAAGUGGGCAACGAUAAUAACCAGCUGUGUGGACGUAGCUGAGUCCUCAUUUGAUGUUUGUGCUUCUAUCCAGCACGGUUUCGCCGCCGCUUACCGGGAUGACAGCUAAUGAGGUUUUUUUUAGUAUUCCGAUUUCCGACCGAAUUAUACGACAAACUUAUUUAACUUUUGAAGAAGCCACGCUUUCGCUAGGUUUCUAGAGAGAUUCUCUCUUUUCAUUCUCCUUCAUUUUUUAGAGAAAGUCUCUUCUACUGCCCGUCAGUUUCUUCCAGUUAUGCAUUGGGAGGCCUCACUUCCAUACCGUUCAGAGAGUGGAGGUUAAGAGAGGAAUUCUCUUUUUGCCAGUGUUUUUUUUUAUUGGUUGUUGUCUUGAUAGGUUCUUAAAGUAGCUAGAGUUCUUGUACGUUAGCCUUUUACUGGUGGUUUGGAUGUUGCAAGGCUGUCUUGACGGUUCGUUGAUAUUGUUUAAUUUCAUAUACCUUUGAGGACGCUCAGGUCGCCAUC